AACGUAGGAGACAAACGUUAUCCGGAGUUACUGGGCGUAAAGGGCGUGUAGGCGGUUUGUUAAGUCUGGCGUGAAAGCUCUCGGCUAAACUGGGAGAGGUCGUUGGAUACUGGCAGACUAGAGGACGGUAGAGGCGUGUGGAAUUCCGGGUGUAGUGGUGAAAUGCGUAGAGAUCCGGAGGAACACCAGUGGCGAAGGCGACACGCUGGGCCGUACCUGACGCUAAAGCGCGACAGCAUGGGGAGCAAACGGG
rnacentral:rRNA from 1 species